GAUGAACGCUGGCGGCGUGCCUAAUACAUGCAAGUCGAGCGAACAGACGAGGAGCUUGCUCCUCUGACGUUAGCGGCGGACGGGUGAGUAACACGUGGAUAACCUACCUAUAAGACUGGGAUAACUUCGGGAAACCGGAGCUAAUACCGGAUAAUAUAUUGAACCGCAUGGUUCAAUAGUGAAAGACGGUUUUGCUGUCACUUAUAGAUGGAUCCGCGCCGAAUUAGCUAGUUGGUAAGGUAACGGCUUACCAAGGCAACGAUGCGUAGCCGAGCGGAGAGAGUGAUCGGCCACACUGGAACUGGGACACGGACCAGAGUCCUACGGGAGGCAGCAGUAGGGAAUCUUCCGCAAUGGGCGAAAGCCUGACGGAGCAACGCCGCGUGAGUGAUGACGGUCUUCGGAUCGUAAAACUCUGUUAUUAGGGAAGAACAAAUGUGUAAGUAACUAUGCACGUCUUGACGGUACCUAAUCAGAAAGCCACGGCUAACUACGUG
rnacentral:rRNA from 1 species